rnacentral:misc_RNA from 1 species
GACGAAGAACGUAGCGAAAUGCGAUACUUGGUGUGAAUUGCAGAAUCCCGUGAACCAUCGAGUCUUUGAACGCAAGUUGCGCCCGAAGCCAUCAGGUUGAGGGCACGUCUGCCUGGGCGUCACAUAUCGUUGCCCAAUGCCUAUUGCAGUGCAAUAGGAAUUUCUAGGGCGAAUGAUGGCUUCCCGUGAGCGUUGUUGCCUCGCGGUUGGUUGAAAAUCGAGUCCUUGGUAGGGUGUGCCAUGGUAGAUGGUGGUCGAGUUAGAACGAUACCGAUCAUGUGCAUGCUCCCCAAAAUAUGGCCUCUAUGACCCACACGCGUCUUUUGACGCUCAUGACGAGACCUCAGGUCAGGCGGGGCUACCCGCUGAAUUUAAGCAUAUCAAUAAGCGGAGGA